rnacentral:miRNA from 1 species
UGUUGAAACAAUCUCUGGUGAGC